rnacentral:rRNA from 1 species
UAGGGAAUCUUCCACAAUGGACGCAAGUCUGAUGGAGCAACGCCGCGUGAGUGAAGAAGGUUUUCGGAUCGUAAAGCUCUGUUGUUGGUGAAGAAGGAUAGAGGCAGUAACUGGUCUUUAUUUGACGGUAAUCAACCAGAAAGUCACGGCUAACUACGUGCCAGCAGCCGCGGUAAUACGUAGGUGGCAAGCGUUGUCCGGAUUUAUUGGGCGUAAAGCGAGCGCAGGCGGAAUGAUAAGUCUGAUGUGAAAGCCCACGGCUCAACCGUGGAACUGCAUCGGAAACUGUCAUUCUUGAGUGCAGAAGAGGAGAGUGGAACUCCAUGUGUAGCGGUGGAAUGCGUAGAUAUAUGGAAGAACACCAGUGGCGAAGGCGGCUCUCUGGUCUGCAACUGACGCUGAGGCUCGAAAGCAUGGGUAGCGAACAGGAUUAGAUACCCUGGUAGUCCAUGCCGUAAACGAUGAGCGCUAGGUGUUGGGGACUUUCCGGUUCUCAGUGCCGC